GUUUCAUUCAAAUUUCUGCCCUAUCAACUGUCGAUGGUAAGGUAGUGGCUUACCAUGGUUGCAACGGGUGACGGAGAAUUAGGGUUCGAUUCCGGAGAGGGAGCCUGAGAAACGGCUACCACAUCUAAGGAAGGCAGCAGGCACGAAAAUUACCCAAUCCCGAUUCGGGGAGGUAGUGACAAGAAAUAACGGUACGGGGCCUUUAUAGGUCUCGCAAUCGGAAUGAGAACAAUUUAAAUCCUUUAACGAGGAUCAAUUGGAGGGCAAGUCUGGUGCCAGCAGCCGCGGUAAUUCCAGCUCCAAUAGCGUAUAUUAAAGUUGUUGCAGUUAAAAAGCUCGUAGUUGGAUUUCGGAGCGGGCCCGUUGGUCCACCGCAAGGUGAGCUACUGGCGGGUCUGUUCUUCUUCGCAAAGACUGCAGGUGCACUUCGCUGUGUGCUUGUCGGAUUUGUGACGUUUACUUUGAAAAAAUUAGAGUGUUCAAAGCAGGCUUUCGCUUGAAUACAUGAGCAUGGAAUAAUGGAAUAGGACUUUGGUUCUAUUUUGUUGGUUUCUAGGACCGAAGUAAUGAUUAAGAGGGACAAACGGGGGCAUCUGUAUUUCGUUGUCAGAGGUGAAAUUCUUGGAUUUGCGAAAGACAAACAACUGCGAAAGCACUUGCCAAGAGUGUUUUCAUUAAUCAAGAACGAAAGUUAGAGGAUCGAAGACGAUCAGAUACCGUCCUAGUUCUAACCAUAAACGAUGUCGACUAGGGAUCGGCGGGCGUUAUUUUAUGACCCCGUCGGCACCUUACGGGAAACCAAAGUUUUUGGAUUCCGGGGGUAGUAUGGUUGCAAAUGUGAAAGUGAGAAAGUAACUAAAUACGAGCCACUCAAGCUAGAUAAGUAUUGGACUCGAGAACUCGAGGGAGCAAAUGGUAUUGUUGCUGAAAAGGUAGAGCUGAUGGGAUUGGCAAUAGGGGCGAUCGGCACAAUCAUGCGUAGUACCCUUCGGAAACUCUGUGAGUUAAAGUCGGGCAGGAUCGUAAGACGUCUACAAAUGAUUGCUUGUAAUAAUAGCGCCCAAAUUAUAAAGGGUCACCUGUCAAGGGCGACUCGGAGGAAUUUGCGGUGAUAAAUGCCAAAAGUUGCUUGGGCUAAAUGAUACGUACGCUAGAAAAAGCGACUUGCUGCACGGAUGACGGUUCAUCAGAGCCCGAUAUGUGCAUGUCAAGGCGGCAGGGAGAAUCACUA
rnacentral:rRNA from 1 species